UAAUCUGCCAUUCACGUCUUUCCUUUCCUUCUUCUCCAAUUUCCACUCUCUCUUCCCUGAUUCAAAUUCAACCAUUCUUAUCCAUAAUCUCCGCUCAAUCGACGCACACACGAGCUCACUGAUUGUUUUUUCAAUUGUGUUCUUUUUGUGCUUCAGAGUCAUUUUAUACUGUGAAGAGAGCUGUGCCAUGGAGUGAUAAGGAGAAAGAUUUCUCAUCUGAUGAAUACUCGUCUUCACAUAAUCACAUUCAUACGUUGGAGCCGAAGAAAGGCGAACGAUCAAUCUAAAGCCAGCCAACCUUCCAAAAAGAAAAAUCCUCCGAAGCUUAUCUCCUUCUAGGUCUCCUGCUCCUACUAGAUCUGUCAACCAUCAGUCUUGAGUGUGCCUCCAGUCCACCAAGAGAACCGGAAGACAAGAAGUGAGACUGGUCAUGGUCUACUUGCAAGGAAAUUCGUUAGACUAACGAGAUUGAAGAAUCUCAUGAAGAACGAAGAAAACAAGGGCUGCAGUAACCCAUAAAUGGAGAGUGACUGACAAGUGUGGAAACUUGGAAAGAGAAGAACCUUACUUUUCCUCUGAAGGAGAAGAGGAAAAGAGAGCAUGGUCUGGCUAGCAGGGGAAAGAAUUCUGUACUUGAAGAAGAAACGAUGUUGUUAAGGAAGAGUGGCCUCGAUUCUGGUUUUGAUACUUGAUCCCUUUUGCUUGUAGUCAUGACCCAUGAGUUUCUUAAUGUAAAAUAUGUAAAAGCUCAUUUCUAUAUGGUCAUUAUUGCAUUGAAAAGAUUGGAUUGUGACCUAUAGUAGCAAUUCUAAGAUGACUUUUGAAGCA